CAGCAGCCACGGUAAUACGAAGGGUGCAAGCGUUACUCGGAAUUACUGGGCGUAAAGCGUGUGUAGGUGGUGGUUUAAGUCCGUUGUGAAAGCCCUGGGCUCAACCUGGGAAUUGCAGUGGAUACUGGGUCACUAGAGUGUGGUAGAGGAUAGUGGAAUUUCCGGUGUAGCAGUGAAAUGCGUAGAGAUCGGAAGGAACAUCUGUGGCGAAGGCGACUAUCUGGGCCAACACUGACACUGAGGCACGAAAGCGUGGGGAGCAAACAGGAUUAGAUACCCGUGUAGUCCCUGUCUCUUAUAC
rnacentral:rRNA from 1 species